AUUUAGACCACACAGAAAUGUAUAACAUAGAGUGAAUUUCCCCUGUAGCUUAUUCCCCAGAGGGAAUUGGUGUGGGACGACUUUGUUUAAAUCUGUAUGCACACUUGAGAAAAGGAAUUAUUUAAUGCAUACUAUUACUGUAGGCAUCUUUCACUGUCAACAUUUUCCUGGUCCCCAUUUAACUCUCUUUACAUUGGACUGGUUUUCAUGAUGUAUAUAUGUAUGUGGUUUGUUGACCUUAUCCUUUGUUGAAGGACAGGUAGAUGCUUGUCACUGUUUGGUUAUUAUUAAUAAAAUUUCUAUACACAGACUUGCACAACCAUUUCCUUAAGGUAAAUUCCUAGGAAUGAAAUUCCUGCCUGAAAAGAAUGUACAUAAUUAAAACUUUGACAGUUACAGACUGCUCUUCAGAUUGGUGCUCUUCAGAUCCAUUCAUGAUUCUUUUGGUUAUUUUUGAGUUAACCCAUGGUUUUCACCAGUAUGAGUAAUCUAAUGUUUUAAAUUUUUAUUUUAAUGUUAAGUAUUUCAUUGUUUACAUCUUUAUGUUCUUCUAAAAAAUCAGUACUGCUGUUAGUCAUCUUUUCCUGUUAUCCACUUGUAUUUCUUAUGGAUUAUUACAUGUCCUGAUUUUUAAAAACUUCUUUAUUUUGCAAAUUAGUCUCCUUACAUCUAAUAAACAAAUAUUUUUGCCAUCCUUAGAUUGCCUUUUAGCUUAGAUUGAGAUAAUCUUCGAUAAGAGAGUAGUUUUGACUACGUCUUUAUAAAAUAGUCUUCCCUGUUUGUUUGUUUGUUUCAUGCUAAGAGAAAAUUUCCCCAUUGCAUGAUUAUAAAAAUUAUAUUUUAGUUUUAAAUUUGCACAUAUUUUUUAUUUUUACAUGAGGUGCGAGUUCCAGAGUUCCUUAAGUUUUUUGUAGUCUUCAUUAUCUCUUAUUUUAAAUUUUGACUUGGCUCUUAGUGUUGGAGUUGCAUGUGGUAUUAAUGUGGAAGAGGCUUCACAAAGUGGAAUAAAUUUGUGUUUCAUGGAUGAAGCUGCUUUGAGCCAGGGCACUCUCCUUCCUAGCUGAAAGCUUUUCCAUUGCAGUUUAAAUCAAGUUAAUAGCUGUGCCUAGUUAAGGGAGGCAUCGCCAAUCUGUACAGCAUCCCUGUUGUUAAAAAGUAGAAGGUUCAGUUGUGUCUCGUUCUUUUAUUUUCCCUUUUGCAGUGAUAUUUAUUCUUCCAUAAACUUACAUUUAAAAUUUAUAAAUUUGUAAAUUGCAGUAGAACCAAGAUGAUAUAAUGGUUUAAUUGCUGACUUUUGUUUCAUCAGCCUGUGUGGACGCUUUUACAUUGGCAUCCUCAUUUUCAUACCGGAGACUGACUUAAUCAUUACAAAGACUUGAAGCCUGUUUAUCAGAAGUGUUUUGCUCAGACCUAAAUGCCUCAGUUUAAAUUAUUAAUUGGAGCGAGCGAUUUCCUGCUGUUUCUUUUGCCACCCAGGGCCCAUGCUGAAGAGAC
rnacentral:lncRNA from 1 species